rnacentral:rRNA from 1 species
AUGGAAAUAGAACAUAUUGGUCAAACGCAAAUUCAUACCCAUGAUCGUCCUUUACAUCUUAAGAAUGUCCUACAUGUUCCAUCUGCAACAACAAAAAAUCUUAUUUUAGCUCACAAACUUGCUCAUGACAAUCUUACUUACAUUGAGUUUUGGCUUGAAUUUAUUUCUGUUAAGGACCAAGUAACAUGCAAGGUUCUACUCCACGCUCAGAGUAGGGGUGGCCUUUAUCCCCUACAGUCCAAGCCGUUAAUUCAUGGAUGGCAAGCUUUUUCAGCAAGCAAACCAUCUUCCUCUCGGUGGCAUAGGCGUCUAGGACAUCCCUCAUUUGUGGUGGUCGACAAAGUUCUUAAGGAAAAUCGUCUCCCUUUCUCCAGUAAAAACAACGAGUCAGUUUGUGAUGCCUGUCAAAAGGCGAAAAGCCAUCAACUUCCGUAUCCUAGUUCAACGAGUGUGCCUAGUGCUCCUUUAGAGCUUAUUUUCUCCGAUGUAUGGGGUCCUGCUACACCUUCAGUGAGCAGAAAUAAAUAUUAUGUAAGCUUUGUCGAUGAUUUCAGUAAGUUUACUUGGAUUUAUGUGCUCAAAAAUAGAUCUGAGGUGUUUCAGAAAUUUCAUGAUUUUUAG